AUGCAAGUGCUGUGGGGGGGGCAUUCUGGCAUUCAAGCUACAUAUUAUAGAAUUUGGAAACUGUUUGUGUGGACCGCGUUGAAGCAAGACAUAGUUGAUUUUGUCCAUCAGUGUGUUGUCUGUCAGCAAGCCAAACAUGAACAUGUUAAAUCCGCAGGUUUACUUCAAUCACUUCCUGUCCCUGAAGGGCCUUGGCAAGAAAUCAUCAUGGAUUUUAUUGAAGCUCUACCCAAAUCAGAAGGUUAUAUAGUGAUUUUGGUGGUGGUGGAUAGACUGACCAAGUAUGCUCAUUUUAUUCCGUUGAAGCAUCCCUUUUCUGCUCCUAUAGUUGCCAAAGCCUUCCUACAUACUGUGGUAAAACUUCAUGGACCACCUCAUACCAUUGUGUCAGACAGAGAUAAGAUUUUCACUAGCCAUUUCUGGAAAGAUUUGUUCAAAGUAUGGGAUACUAAGUUGCUCAUGAGAACUGCGUAUCACCCUCAAACAGAUGGCCAGAGUGAAAGAGUAAACCAGUGUUUGGAGAUGUUUUGGAGGUGUGCAGUCCAUGAUACUCCAACAAAGUGGCAUGCUUGGUUGUCAUUGGCUGAAUUAUGGUAUAAUAUCAAUUUUCAUUCAGCCCUGGAGUGCUCCCCUUUCAAGGCUCUGUAUGGCUAUGAACCUACAUAUGGUGUGUUUCCCACUUUGCUUCAAUCAGACAAUAUAGAUGUGGAACAGUGGCUCAGGGAACAUCAAACACACACUGCAGUGUUGAAAGCACACUUACUCAAGGCUCAGGCUAAGAUGAAGCACUAUGCUGACAAGAACAGGACACCUAGGCUCUUCUCUGUGGGUGAGGCAGUCUACUUGAAAUUACAACCCUAUGCACAACACUCUGUGGUGAAUAGACCCUGUGCAAAACUGGCCUAUAAGUACUAUGGACCAUUUGAAAUAUUGGAGCAAAUUGGCCCUGCCGCGUACAAGCUUCAACUGCCUGCAGAAGCUCAAAUUCAUCUAGUUUUCCAUGUGUCACAACUUAAAGAGUUUGUGCCAGACCACACACCAGUUUUCACUACUUUACCUGUUCCAGUUGACCUCUCCAGUCUCGGUGUGGUGCCAAGUUCUAUUCUGGAUAGGAAAUUGGUGAAGAGGGGCGAUACUGCUCUUUUGCAGGUUCUGAUACAGUGGACAAGGUUACCUGUGGAAGCGGCUACUUGGGAGAACUAUGACACCAUCAAGAUACGCUACCCUACUGCUCCAGCCUGGGGACAGGCUGAAACUCAAGCGGGAGGCAAUGUCAGCACCAGUAACCUUCUGCUGACAAGCAUCAAGGAUGGAGAGGUUGGGCCAUCGACUAACUAA
rnacentral:rRNA from 1 species